rnacentral:rRNA from 1 species
CCUACGGGUGGCAGCAGUGAGGAAUAUUGGUCAAUGGUCGCGAGCCUGAACCAGCCAAGCAGCGUGAAGGAGGACUGCACUGCGGAUUGUAAACCUCUUUUGUAAGGGAAUAAAGUCUGGGACGCGUGCCCGGAUGAGUGUACUUUAUGAAAAAGGAUCGGCUAACUCCGUGCCAGCAGCCGCGGUAAUACGGAGGAUGCGAGCGUUAUCCGGAUUUAUUGGGUUUAAAGGGAGCGCAGGCGGGUUGUUAAGUCAGUUGGGAAAGUUUGGGGCUCAACCCCAGAAUGGCAAUGGAUACUGGCAGUCUUGAGUAUAGGUGAGGUAGGCGGAAUGCGCGGUGUAGCGGUGAAAUGCUUAGAUAUCGCGAAGAACUCCGAUUGCGAAGGCAGCUUAC